GCUGGUAUGGCGGAAUUGGCAGACGCAAGGGACUUAAAAUCCCUCGAUGGCAACAUCAUAUCGGUUCGAUCCCGAUUACCAGCACCA
rnacentral:tRNA from 1 species